CUUUCCCUACGGGGGGCAGCAGUGAGGAAUAUUGGUCAAUGGGCGCGAGCCUGAACCAGCCAAGUCGCGUGAGGGAAGACGGUCCUAUGGAUUGUAACCCUCUUUUGUCGGGGAGCAAAAGAAGCCACGUGUGGCGUUCCGAGAGUACCCGAAGAAAAAGCAUCGGCUAACUCCGUGCCAGCAGCCGCGGUAAUACGGAGGAGGCGAGAGCUAUCCGGAUUUAUUGGGUUUAAAGGGUGCGCAGGCGGAG
rnacentral:rRNA from 1 species